CAGCCGCCGCGGUAAUACGAAGGGGGCUAGCGUUGCUCGGAUUUACUGGGCGUAAAGGGCGCGUAGGCGGACAGUUAAGUUGGGGGUGAAAGCCCGGGGCUCAACCUCGGAAUUGCCUUCAAUACUGGCUGUCUUGAGUGUGAGAGAGGUGUGUGGAACUCCGAGUGUAGAGGUGAAAUUCGUAGAUAUUCGGAAGAACACCAGUGGCGAAGGCGACACACUGGCUCACUACUGACGCUGAGGCGCGAAAGCGUGGGGAGCAAACAGGAUUAGAUACCCCUGUAGUCCCUGUCUCUUAUAC
rnacentral:rRNA from 1 species